UGGCGGAUAGUGGAAUGUGGGGAAGGGAUUUAAUGUGAUGUGGAUUGGAUUCCUAGUAGCUCCAAGGCAAUAAAUUAGAUACAAAUGCAAAUAUAUUGCUUGAAUUUGGAAUGUCGGAAAUCCCUUUAAUGUCCGGGCUCUAUAUGUUUGGAUUGGCAAGUUUGACUGAUUUCAUUCACGUCUAACUAGAUUGAGUCUGAUUUUGCAAAAUUCUAAUGGGGCCUAGCUAGAAAAGGGAUGCUUCAUAUUAAACCCAAUGUUAAACAAGAGAAUUUAUUGAUGUAAUAAUGUUUUUUUUCUUUCUUGUUUUUGCAUGCGUUUAUGCAUGCACAUGCAUAUUUAUCUCUAUGUUUCCAUAAAGAAAAGGAGGGAUUUUUCGUGCCUUGUUUACGUAUACAAAAUAGGAUGAUAU
rnacentral:lncRNA from 1 species